rnacentral:rRNA from 1 species
AUUGAACGCUGGCGGCAGGCCUAACACAUGCAAUUCGCGCGAGCGGCGGACGGGUGAGUAAUGCCUGGGAAUUGCCCAGUCGAGGGGGAUAACAGUUGGAAACGACUGCUAAUACCGCAUACGAUUGGAUUGCCCAGGUGGGAUUAGCUAGUUGGUGAGAUAAUGGCUCACAAAGGCGACGAUCCCUAGCUGGUCUGAGAGGAUGAUCGGCCACACUGGAACUGAGACACGGUACAGACUCAUACGGGAGGGAGAAGUGGGGAAUAUUGCACAAGGGGGGAAACCCUGAUGCAGCCAUGCCGCGUGUGUGAAGAAGGCCUGCGGGUUGUAAAGCAAUGUCAGCGAGGAGGCGUUACUCGCAGAAGAAGCACCGGCUAACUCCGUGCCAGCCGCCGCGGUAAGUC